GCUGUCUUUUCCUUCUUUGCUUGCCGUGAUCGCCGAUUAGUCGGGAUUUGGUCCCGAAUAUGCGCAUUCCAUCUAUACGCCAGUCAAGAACCUAGACAUUUUUUACGACCCGCAUUCGGUAUCACAAAUUAAUCACAAACUGUUGCCAAAGUUCGGGAUUGAAUGUGACCACGCGUUUUCCUAUUUUACUUUCAAUCAAUCAUCAUAUCGUUACCAUUUUUGCGAAACGAAGAAACGCUAUAAAUAUCGAGACCCUCAUCAUUGCUCGACACCCUUGACCCUCAUCACCGGAGUUCUACCGGAGUAAACAACACCAUCACACGCCAUCCUCUAUCUCUCAUUAUUUCGAAGAUCGCUGGAAGAUUCGGAGGUACGAGGACGUCACCGGAGCACAAGCUGAAACACUUAUUGUUGCCGGAACCGAACGGAGAACAUGACGGGGAACGCUUCAUUUCGGUAAACAUUUCGUUUGUUUCGUUCCAUUUGGUUUUGUGUAAACCUUCUAUUGACACAUUUUGUUCCAUUCGUUUUGUGUUCACAUCGCGUUUCGAUAUAUACGCCGUAAUCGGAGUUCAUCGGAGAAACUCACCGGAGCCGAGUCGGAGGUCCAACGGAACCCAUCGUCGCCCACUGUUCCGGUUAAUCGCCCUCGUUCGUCCUCUUGGAUUUCUGUACUUGUGCGUUGUUCUACAAGAAAUCGCAACGCAAUCAAUGUUGAUAGAUGAAGAAUUCAAGAAUCAAGUUAGGGUGGAUUAGAAACACACCUAGAAAUAGACUAUGUUGGAAUCUUGUUUUGUUCAUUUGAACAUUGUAUGACAUCUUAGAAUUUAUGAAAUUGAAUUUAAAUUAUAUUGUCACAAUUAGUGUUAUGUUGUUUUGAGCAAUUUGUUCGUCUCAUCCCGAUGUU